GGGACCUCAGGUCAGGCGGGGCUACCCGCUGAGUUUAA
rnacentral:rRNA from 10 species